rnacentral:rRNA from 1 species
AUUGAACGCUGGCGGCAGGCCUAACACAUGCAAGUCGAACGAGUGGCGGACGGGUGAGUAAUGUCUGGGAAACUGCCUGAUGGAGGGGGAUAACUCCUGGAAACGGUAGCUAAUACCGCAUACCAUCAGAUGUGCCCAGAUGGGAUUAGCUUGUUGGUGGGGGAACGGCUCACCCAGGCGACGAUCCCUAGCUGGUCUGAGAGGAUGACCAGCCACACUGGAACGGGGACACGGUCAAGACUCGUACGGGAGGCAGCAGUGGGGAAUAUUGCACAAUGGGCGAAAGCCUGAUGCAGCCAUGCCGCGUGUAUGAAGAAGGCCUUCGGGUUGUAAAGUACUUGCAGCGGGGAGGCGUUACCGACAGAAGAAGCACCGGCUAACUCCGUGCCAGCAGCCGCGGUAAUAC